GGGCGAAUAGCUCAGUUGGUUAGAGCGCCUGUCUUACACACAGGAUGUCGGGGGUUCGAGUCCCUCUUCGCCCAC
rnacentral:tRNA from 1 species